rnacentral:rRNA from 1 species
UACGGAGGAUCCGAGCGUUAUCCGGAUUUAUUGGGUUUAAAGGGUGCGUAGGCGGCCUGUUAAGUCAGGGGUGAAAGACGGUAGCUCAACUAUCGCAGUGCCCUUGAUACUGAUGGGCUUGAAUGUACUAGAGGUAGGCGGAAUGUGACAAGUAGCGGUGAAAUGCAUAGAUAUGUCACAGAACACCGAUUGCGAAGGCAGCUUACUAUGGUCCGAUUGACACUGAGGCACGAAAGCGUGGGGAUCAAACAGG